GACGAACGCUGGCGGCGUGCUUAACACAUGCAAGUCGAACGAAGUGGCGAACGGGUGAGUAAUACGUGAGUAACCUGCCCUCCUUUUUGGGAUAAGCCUUGGAAACGGGGUCUAAUACCGAAUAAAGGGGGAUGGGCUCGCGGCCUAUCAGCUUGUUGGUUGGGUGAUGGCCUACCAAGGCGGUGACGGGUAGCCGGCCUGAGAGGGUGACCUGCGACAGUGGGACUGCGAAACGGCCCAGACUCGUACGGAGGGGGGCAGUGGGGGAUAUUGCACGAUGUGCGAAAGCCUGAUGCAGCGACGCCGCGGGGGGGUUGAAGGCUUUCGGGUUGUAAACCUCUUUCGCUAUCGAAGGGGUAGGUGGAGAAGAAGCGCCGGCUAACUACGUGCCAGCAGCCGCGGUAAUUC
rnacentral:rRNA from 1 species